CUUAUCCAGCAGCCAUCAUUACAAAACUGAAGUUAAAUACCAGUCUCCCUCGUCCUGGGAAAAGAAAGCAUCGUUUUCAAAAUGUUCUUACUCUCAAAUCCAUACAUGUGCAGUCAUAUUCGUCUUCGUUUCCCAAAAACUUAUCUGUCUGUUUUAAUUUUUCUUUUUCUUAAUUUUUAAACACUUGUCUGGGAGGUUUUUAAAUCUGGUCUUCACUGAGCUGUGUAACUUGGUGUUUGCUUUAAAAUGACCUUAUAUUGCCAUGCCAGUGCCAUAUAUGACUUCCCAUGUUGGUUGUAAAGUAAUGUGAGUUUGAGGAGUUCUAGAUAACAGUGCAAGUCACUGCUUUCAACUGCAGCUGUGCUGCAGAGCCCUCAGUGCAGAGUGGUUUUGGCUGUGCAACACAUUUUCCACAAAAGUUAGUCUUUGUAGUAUCUCAGUUAGUAGGUCUCAUCAGGCAGCAGUAGUUUUAUUUAAGAUAAAGUUUUAUUAAAGCCCUUGAAUUGGAACUCUCUGGCUGAAGGAGCAGGUAAGGUUCCCUUUGCAAUGCCAGUGGGAUGGACUGGCUUUGGGGGGAACAGAGAUGUUGGGAGCUCUCCAAGGGACUUGGGGACUAUUCUCUAACAGGAACAAACUGACACAGCACAAUUUGUCUGUCUAUUGGAGAUGGGCAGGAAUGACUUUCAAGCAUAUAAUCACCUCCUAAAUGUAAUCUGUUUUUCCACCACCAAGAAGAUGGUUUCAGUGCCAGCAAUGCCAAGGUGACUGGAUCCUGUGUGCUGUAUGGUGACAUUCCCCUGAACAGGGAACAGAGCAGCCUGCACCAGAGUAACACCUCUUGCUUUGCCUGGGUGUUCCAUGAUACUUGGCAUUGUUGUUGCACUCUUUGGCCUUUCUAAUUCUUCCUGAGUAUGGAUAUAAGCUGGGAGCAGAGAUGACACUCAGACACUCAGAGCCUGCCUUGAUAGAUCUGGUCAGGACCUAAGGGGCUCCAUAGUGAGGGUUUGUGCCAUAAACACUGUGUGGUGACUUGCUGCCUUACUGCACGCUGCCUAAAGAUCCAGAGUUUGCUUUAGGAAAUACAUAAUGCUGUUCUGCUUUAUACACCUGGAGGUCAAAAGGGAAUGUGUUUUUUCUAGCUAAUCAUCGUCUCUUGCCAGCUAAUUGUAAGUAAAAUAAAAAGAGAAAGCAUGGAGUCUGGCCAGUGCUUACUAAUGUCUGAACCAACAAGUCUGAGGUGGUGUUACUUUUCUGGCUUGACUUUGUUGAACUUCCGUGGGAGUUUGAAGUUUUACUCUGAGAAGCUUAUCUUCACUUUCACUGUGUUGUUGUUCUUUAUGGUU